UACGUAGGUGGCAAGCGUUGUCCGGAAUUAUUGGGCGUAAAGCGCGCGCAGGUGGUUUCUUAAGUCUGAUGUGAAAGCCCACGGCUCAACCGUGGAGGGUCAUUGGAAACUGGGGAACUUGAGUGCAGGAGAGAAGAGUGGAAUUCCACGUGUAGCGGCGAAAUGCGUAGAGAUGUGGAGGAACACCAGUGGCGAAGGCGACUCUUUGGCCUGUAACUGACACUGAGGCGCGAAAGCGUGGGGAGCAAACAGG
rnacentral:rRNA from 1 species